GAUGAAGAACGUAGCGAAAUGCGAUAAGUAAUGUGAAUUGCAGAAUUCAGUGAAUCAUCGAAUCUUUGAACGCACAUUGCGCCCGCCAGUAUUCUGGCGGGCAUGCCUGUUCGAGCGUCAUUACAACCCUCAGGCCCCCGGGCCUGGCGUUGGGGAUCGGCGGAGCCCCCCGUGGGCACACGCCGUCCCCCAAAUACAGUGGCGGUCCCGCCGCAGCUUCCAUCGCGUAGUAGCUAACACCUCGCGACUGGAGAGCGGCGCGGCCACGCCGUAAAACACCCAACUCUUCUGAAGUUGACCUCGAAUCAGGUAGGAAUACCCGCUGAACUUAAGUAUAUCAAUAAGCGGAGGA
rnacentral:misc_RNA from 1 species